rnacentral:rRNA from 1 species
UACGUAGGGGGCAAGCGUUGUCCGGAAUCAUUGGGCGUAAAGCGCGUGUAGGCGGCCCGGUAAGUCCGCUGUGAAAGUCCAGGGCUCAACCCUGGGAUGCCGGUGGAUACUGUCGGGCUCGAGUCCGGAAGAGGCGAGUGGAAUUCCUGGUGUAGCGGUGAAAUGCGCAGAUAUCAGGAGGAACACCAAUGGCGAAGGCAGCACUCUAGGACGUGACUGACGCUGAGACGCGAAAGCGUGGGGAGCAAACAGG